GCCCCCAUCGUCUAGAGGCCCAGGACUCCGGGUUCUCAGUCCGGCAACAGGGGUUCGAAUCCCCUUGGGGGUA
rnacentral:tRNA from 2 species